rnacentral:rRNA from 1 species
GGAACGCUGGGCAAGCGGGCGCGGUAAGACAGAGGGUGCGGGCGUUAAUCGGAAUUACUGGGCGUAAAGCGGGUGUAGGUGGCUCAGUAAGUCACAUGUGAAAUCCCCGGGCUUAACCUGGGAACUGCAGGUGAUACUGGGGGUGCUAGAAUAUGUGAGAGGGAAGUAGAAUUCCAGGUGUAGCGGUGAAAUGCGUAGAGAUCUGGAGGAAUACCGAUGGCGAAGGCAGCUUCCUGGCAUAAUAUUGACACUGAGAUUCGAAAGCGUGGGUAGCAAACAGGAUUAGAUACCCUGGUAGUC